GGACUACACGGGUUUCUAAUCCUGUUUGCUCCCCACGCUUUCGUGCAUGAGCGUCAGUAUUGUCCCAGGGGGCUGCCUUCGCCAUUGGUAUUCCUCCACAUAUCUACGCAUUUCACUGCUACACGUGGAAUUCUACCCCCCUCUGACAUACUCUAGCUAUGCAGUCACAAUCGCAAUUCCCAGGUUGAGCCCGGGGAUUUCACGACUGUCUUGCAUAACCGCCUGCGCACGCUUUACGCCCAGUAAUUCCGAUUAACGCUUGCACCCUACGUAUUACCGCGGCGGCUGGCAC
rnacentral:misc_RNA from 1 species